rnacentral:rRNA from 1 species
CUACGGGGUGCUGCAGUGGGGAAUAUUGGACAAUGGGGGAAACCCUGAUCCAGCAAUGCCGCGUGUGUGAAGAAGGCCUGCGGGUUGUAAAGCACUUUCGGUUUGGAGGACUGCUUCUAGCACUAAUAUUGUUGGAAGUUGACGUUACCUUCAGAAGAAGCACCGGCUAACUCCGUGCCAGCAGCCGCGGUAAUACGGAGGGUGCAAGCGUUAAUCGGAAUUACUGGGCGUAAAGCGCGCGUAGGCGGCUAGAUCAGUCGGGUGUGAAAGCCCCGGGCUUAACCUGGGAACUGCAUCCGAUACUGUCUAGCUUGAGUACAGGAGAGGAGAGUGGAAUUCCACAUGUAGCGGUGAAAUGCGUAGAUAUGUGGAGGAACACCAAUGGCGAAGGCAGCUCUCUGGCCUGAUACUGACGCUGAGGUGCGAAAGCGUGGGGAGAAAACAGGAUUAGAUACCCGAGUAGUC